rnacentral:sRNA from 1 species
AUCCUGACAAAGCGCCAGGAAUGCGUCACUUUCCAGCUGUGAGCAAACCCACGACUCUACCAGCACGGAUCGUUCUGCAUUUGACGUUGAAAGCGAAUAAAGUGUUAGAUUCGAUCGCAGCUGUGUUGGUGGACUCUUGUGCCAUAUUGCCAAUAUGUGCGCUUUGAACUACAUUGGUUAGGGGCCAGAAAGGAGGAUUUGGAUUUGGAUUUGCAUAACUGCCACUGACUUCCCCAUCGGAAACUGCUCCGCUGCCGUCUUGGCUGGUGACGGAUAAUAGGUUCGCUCUGGGUUUAUUCGACGUAGAAGUGCGCGAUUGAGAUAUACCAAGGGGCAAGCCGGAACCUGACAGCACAGGAUUUGUUGCUUGUCUUCCAGCAGGUACUCGUGACUGAGACGGCUGCUUUGAGCCGGCUUUUUUUCCAGGUUUGGCGAAAGGUAGCUCUCGUUUGGGGGGUAAAAUCUGACUAAGAGAGUUUACAUCAGGCAAUGCUGGGGCUGUAGCUGGCCUGUCUUUGGAGGAAGAGUGAGUCAUUUUCCUAGGGCCUGGGUGGCUUGAAGUGAAAGGGGACAUAUCUCUUUCCACUGGGCGGAAGGCGGACGAUGGGCGUUGUAUGUCUAGAUAAGGCGAAGCAGAUGUUGUAUUGUUGAGAGUAAUGCCUCUUUGAGGGAUGGAUAGCGACGAAGUGUGAGGUCUAUCAUGCGCCUCAUGAUAGGAGCCUACAUUUGUUGACCCAUUGCUCAAUGAACUAAUAAGUGACCCUGACGUGCUGGGCUCUGUCAGGGAAGGUGACCGUGGUCGUGUCUGGUGUUGGUCUACUGCUACUGCGGGCCGACUUGAGAGUGCUUGCGACAUUGUAUAUCCACUAUUGUUUAGCUUCAGUAGGCUAGGUAUUUGGGAAGAGGGAGAGAAUGGUCGAUUAGACGAAGCAUGUUGAGGUGGGACUGAUACAGAAUGUGUGAUUGGGCAACCAAGUUUCGCCAAUAUGGAUAUAGCAUUGGAGUAGUCAGAAUCGGAGGAGAACUUGACCUGAAAACGUCGGGUCUAAAGCGUGCUUAGCGGCAUACAGAUAGACUGGUGGAUCUCAUAUUGGUACCUGAUCGUUUUUCAUGGGAUAGCGCACUGCUAGACAAGGGCACUUUACGAUAAUGGCCACUGGGGGUUUCACAGUCUGGACGAAAGAAUAGGAUGACCCCACUGCUGCUUCCCUGGC